rnacentral:ncRNA from 1 species
CACCGCCCGUCACACUAUGGGAGCUGGCCAUGCCCGAAGUCGUUACCUUAACCACAAGGAGGGGGAUGCCGAAGGCAGGGCUAGUAACUGGAGUGAAGUCGUAACCAGGUAGCCGUACGGGAAGGUGCGGCUG